CCUACGGGUGGCAGCAGUGGGGGAUAUUGCACAAUGGAGGGAACUCUGAUGCAGCGACGCCGCGUGAGGGAAGAAGGUUUUCGGAUUGGAAACCUCUGUCUUCGUUGACGAAACGAGACGGUAGCGGAGGAGGAAGCAAAGUCUAACCACGUGCAUGCAGCCGCGGUAAGACGUAGGUGGCAAGCGUUUUCCGGAAUUACGGGGUUAAAAGGGAGCGUAGGCGGGAAAGCAAGUUGAAUGUUUAAGGUACGGGGUCAACCUGUACACGCUUUCAAAACUGUUUUUCUUGAGUGGAGUAGAGGUAAGCGGAAUUCCUAGUGUAGCGGUGAAAUGCGUAAAUAUUAGGAGGAACACCAGUGGCGAAGGCGGCUUACUGGGCUUUAACUGACGCUGAGGCUCGAAAGCGUGGGUAGCAAACAGGAUUAGAUACCCUAGUAGUC
rnacentral:rRNA from 1 species